UACGUAGGGUGCAAGCGUUGUCCGGAAUUAUUGGGGCGUAAAGAGCUCGUAGGCGGUUUGUUGCGUCGGCUGUGAAAUCCCCGAGGCUCAACCUCGGGUCUGCAGUCGAUACGAGCAAACUAGAGUGUUGCAGGGGAGACUGGAAUUCCUGGUGUAGCGGUGAAAUGCGCAGAUAUCAGGAGGAACACCGGUGGCGAAGGCGGGUCUCUGGGCAACAACUGACGCUGGAGGAGCGAAAGCCGUGGGGAGCGAACAGG
rnacentral:rRNA from 1 species